rnacentral:rRNA from 1 species
CCUACGGGUGGCAGCAGUGGGGAAUAUUGGACAAUGCGCGAAAGCCUGAUCCAGCCAUGCCGCGUGUGUGAAGAAGGCCUUCGGGUUGUAAAGCACUUUCAGUGGGGAAGAAAGCCUUGGGGCUAAUACCCUCGAGGAAGGACAUCACCCACAGAAGAAGCACCGGCUAACUCCGUGCCAGCAGCCGCGGUAAUACGGAGGGUGCGAGCGUUAAUCGGAAUUACUGGGCGUAAAGCGCGCGUAGGCGGUCUGAUAAGCCGGUUGUGAAAGCCCCGGGCUCAACCUGGGAACGGCAUCCGGAACUGUCAGGCUAGAGUGCAGGAGAGGAAGGUAGAAUUCCCGGUGUAGCGGUGAAAUGCGUAGAGAUCGGGAGGAAUACCAGUGGCGAAGGCGGCCUUCUGGACUGACACUGACGCUGAGGUGCGAAAGCGUGGGUAGCAAACAGGAUUAGAUACCCCAGUAGUC